AGAAAACUUCAGCUGUCUACAUAUUGCGCAGCAAAAUGUUUGUACAGAUCAGCUGGUUUCUGGUUACCUACACGUAUGGUGAGUAGAACGUUCCCUGGACAAAUUGGUCCCCGUGGAGAAACCUGGCACCUACGCCAACAAUCGGUCCCACGAUAUACCGUACCUACUCGAACAAUUGGUCCCCAAUUUUUUAUUUUGUUAAAAUCAAUAAUUAUGUUUAACGUUUAACCCCACCUCGUCUAUGGACCUCUUUUUGAUAUAAUAAAAUUAUUCAAACUUUAUUAACUCGUAAAACGAAUUUAAAAAGUGAAUAUAAUAUCAAUAUAAUGCAUUAAUAUACGUAGGUAUUGAAAACAUUUCAGCAAUUUUUGUGGUAUUCAUAAUCAUUUGACAUUUUCGAUUUUUUUAGUUAUUAUUUGAUUUUAUGUUUUGGCCGAUAAGAAAUGCUUAACAAUUUUUACGAUUGUAAUCGUAAACUACACUAAGUAUCUACUAAGUUAAGUAAAUACUUAAGUAGUCCCCCUCCCCACGAUCCAAAUCCAAUAUAGAUUUGGAAUCUCUUGGCGUCAAUAUUAGAGCCAUGAAAAUAUCUAAAGCAAGCAAUUUAACCCUAUAGUUACAGAGAAAAUCAAUAAAGUAAGAAGAAUCAAUAGAAAUAUUGAAAGCAGCAGUCUCUAAAGUUUUCAGAGAAAAUUUGGCUGUAGAAUAUGAACCAGAAACGGCUAACAGAUAUACGGGACGUAGAUUCUGAAACGACGACAAACGAGAUAAAGGAGGCCGUAUACAGGACAGGGAAAAAAAACUACUUGAGUGGUACUUAGUGUCAAAAUAGAUCAAAAUGUUAAAAGUUGAGAGCAAUAUAAUAGAAGUUUUUUAUUAGCGUUUUAAGUUCAAAUUUUGAUGGAAAUCGUAAAAAUUAAAGCUCGCGUUUCGUUAGCAAUGUCUUAUUGUUGCGCAUAUAUAUAAAUUAAAUAACUAUAUGGAUAUCCCAUCUUCCAAACUUCUCUCGUGCAAUAGUUGCACACCUAUCGGCAACAUCAGCUCUUUUUUUUAUGAAUUUUGAAAUCAAAUUACCCUAUACCUACUGUAUUAUUAUAAAUCUUACGAAAAAAUGAUAUAAAAUGGCCGAGGAAUUAUUAUAAUGGAAACAUGUAGGAUAAUAAAAUCAAACUAUAUGUCAGGUUGUGGAAUAUAUCCUAUGCUCAAAGAUCUGUUCUAACAGACUUUUAAGUAGUCGAUAUAACUGCGAACUAUAUAUAACCAUCACUCGCAUCAUCUAAAUUCGAUUUUUCACGAUUUAUCACGCAAUAGGCGCAAACUGUAUGAACCUACCUAUCUUCAUCAUAAUUUGAUAAUAUAUAAUAAUAAACUAUUUUAAUACUGUAUGAUGUAAAUUUAGGAAAUAUUGCUGGCCUAUUUAAAUAUAUAUAUAUUAUAAUAAUAUUUGCGUUGUCUACACAGAAUAACACGUUUACUCAUAAUGUUAUUUACUCGUCCCUAAAUAGUUUAAUGAUUUUUGUUGAAUAGCUUUCGAAACGUAAUAAUCAUUAACAUUACGAUCUUUCGAACGUAUCGGAUUGCAGUAUAUGCGUUUAUUUAAAUAAAUUAUAAUACUGUUGAUAAAUUCAUCAUGUCCGACAAGGAGGAGAGAAUACCCGAAUCGGGAAAUGUGUUAUAGGAGUAAGCAUUUAUACUAAAAAAUCUCUAAGACCAAACACAGAUAAUUCUUUAUUUUUGAUAGAAAUAAUAUAAGGGGAGAAUGAUAGUUUAUUGUCAAAAAUAAUACCUAGGUCUUUAACUAGAUUUGUACGAGUGUAUUUAUUCAGUUUAUAAUUAAAAAUCAAGUUAGUGAGUUUCUUAGAAAAAGUAAUAUUGUUUGAAAUGUAUUAAUAUUUAAGGAAAGGCUAUUAAGUAUAGGCUAUUAUGCACCAGUAUUAACACUUAAAUCAUUCUGAAGUUCCAGGUUAUUUCUGACUAUUAAAUUAAUAAACCUAAUGCAGGCGUAACUCACCAGUAAAACUCAGUGAACCGCGAUAAAUUUUACAUUCAACUCAAACCUGUUUCACUCCUGGCGCAUUUUACGGGAUAACAUAACUUUAUCAAUUAAUAGUUAUCGAGUUAACUAAAAACUAAAACUUUGAUUAAAUAUUAGCCAUUUAUGUUAUGUUUAUAUAGAGAAAAAAAUACAUCUUAACGCAUUGUAACAAAUAUUAAUAUUUAAAUUAUUAAAUAAAAUAUAUGUAAUAAGUAAAUUAUUUCGGUUUACUAAAUUCCUGAAACUACUUUAGAAUUGACAAAAUAGAAAUUUUAACAAUAAUAAAAUCAUUAUUAGCAGUUAAAUACGAACUUAAAAUUGUUUUAGAAACGAUAACAAUCGCGCAGUCUACGGAAGAUCAUAUCCGGGAAUAUUCUGAACCUUCAUGGGAAAUCGUAAUAAUUAUAUGAAAACAAUUAAAUCAAAUAUUAUCACCUUACUAUAUAGUAAUCGUUUCAAAAUUAUGUAUAUCGUAUAAUAUUAUGAUAUUAGGAACGCAGAAGUCAGCGAAUUUUGCACAAUCCGUGAACAAACCAAGGAGUACCGGAAUAUUAUGAUUGGCCCAGGGAGGACGAGUUGACUGCGAAUAAUAACGGGAUGAAAAGAAACGCUGGUUAUUCGUUAAACGACGACGAUAAUCUGCAGGCUCGUAAGAAACGCAGAAUGAGUACGUGCCUAUAAUCAAAAUUAUUAUAAACUGUCCGUUCCUUUAGUUUUAAACGUGAAUCGACCGCAGGCCGGUUAUUGAUCUGUACAGAAUAUAUUUCUUUUGAAUUUGUUACGCGGUAUUCGUGCGAAUUCUAUACCGGAGGGGGGGGGCGUCUUUGAAGUAUUUACCAAGAUUGCAUUUUGACCAGACUAUAAUUUUUGUGCGCCGCCGGGAAAACAUUUUUUUUUUUCUCGAACCGAUCUUAAAGCAUUGAUAGCUAUAUACGGCCAUAAGCUAUUGCGACAAGUAUAAAAAAAAUUGUUUUGUAAUAAUUCUAUAUACGAGUAUAAUAGUAAAAUAUAUAUUAGCCCGUUGGAAUUUUGUUUGGCCUGCCCGGUUGUUUACAUAUAGGUACCUUUCAAAAAGUCGAAAUGACGUCCUUUUACUCGUCGACUUUUUUUCGUAUAAUAUAUCGCCGUAUUUGGCGUUUACAUUUAUAGGAAACAGGGGAGAAGAAUUCAACGCUGCAGACAGUCGUUAUACUACAGCGUAGUAAUUUAAUCGACGGUGCAGACGACAGCCAUCGGUGCAACUAUAAUAGACUUACGGUGUAUGGGAAACGGAAAACCGGUGUAGUAGUUGCACCAACGCGCAAUCGAACGAUGGAACCGAGCAAAUAGUACCACGCCGGUAGGACAUGUUACUCGGGAUCGAACUGCCGGUUCAGUCAGUUGUUUUUAUAGUUUAUAAGUUGAUAAUUUUCUGUUUGUAAAUAUAAAAUGUG